CCUACGGGAGGCUGCAGUGAGGAAGAGUGGUCAAUGGACGAGAGUCUGAACCAGCCAAGUAGCGUGAAGGAUGACUGCCCUAUGGGUUGUAAACUUCUUUUAUAUGGGAAUAAAAUGUUCCACGUGGGGGAGUUUGUAUGUACCAUAUGAAUAAGGAUCGGCUAACUCCGUGCCAGCAGCCGCGGUAAUACGGAGGAUCCGAGCGUUAUCCGGAUUUAUUGGGUUUAAAGGGAGCGUAGGGGGAUUGUUAAGUCAGUUGUGAAAGUUUGCGGCUAAACCGGAAAAUUGCAGUUGAAACUGGCAGUCUUGAGUACAGUAGCGGUGGGCGGCAUUCGUGUUGUAGC
rnacentral:rRNA from 1 species